rnacentral:lncRNA from 1 species
CAAGAGAAAAUAUGUAAAUGUACUUAACUUUGUAAUUUUUAGACGGUUCCUCGAUUCAUUUCUACAUGAUUAGUUGCUUCUCCCAGUUAUUUUUCUCCACGAUUUAGUUUUUAAUCCACAUGUGACGUGAUCAUUGGAUCUUAUCCGUGAUAUCCACAGGACAAUUUUUUCUUACCCCAUCCCUAAAAUUCCUCUACAUCUCUCUCUCAUUUUCUUUUGAUGUUGAAGAGGGAAAACUAACCUCAAAUAUCACCAUCUAUUAUAUAACAAACCUCUUAGACAUAAAUAUAAUUAGCAAAUGCUAAUUUAACUGCUGUUAGAGAUUUGGUAAUGAUCGACAGUUCGAAGGUUUUUUCUUUAUUGCUAUCAAUGUUGGUUGUUAAAGUAUUCAGCUGGAUGAGAAUGAUGAUAAUCACCAGCCACCUCCAACCACCAUCCCCACCACCUUCUUCAAUCUCUAAACCUUCAAUUCCAAGAAAAUAAUUUACUAACGAACACCCUUUACCUACUUUGAUCCUCAACAAAAUUCCUCUUAUCUCCCCAUUUCUUUCCUUCAUUGCCUACACAAUAUUGGCUGCUCCAAUUUUUUAUUAAUCUUGGGAGGGAGAAAAAAGGAAAGAAAAUGGAUGGCAUCUCAAGAUUGUUGGUGCUGUCAAUAUUCUUUGUGAUAUUGUUUGGUUUUCAAAGAGAGAAUAUGGUAACUAUGGCCAUUGAUGAAGAUGCAAAAGCGCUUUGUAGCGUUAAUCUUGCAGAAUUUCUUCCUCCUCCUUAUGGUGGUCUUGAAAAUAUGGUCUGUCAACCUGUUUGGAACUCUUUCCUGCUACGUGUAAGUAUUCUUAACAUUAUGCAACUCUCUAAUAUGCAUUAAUUAGUCUUUAACACAUAAUCUAAUGUCAACCUCUAGAGGAUCGUCUAAUUAAAAGGUAAAUAUUUAGAGUUUCUAAGUAGUCAAUCUUUUAGAGACAGAACAAAAAGAAAUGAUGUCAAACAAACUGGAACUGUUCCAGAGGGAAUAUAUGACACUACUAUCGGCUAUUUUUUGGAGAUCAAUAGCUUAUAAUGACUUCAACUUAAUUUCUGAUUACAGUACUCUGAGAGUAAAGAUAAUGUGGUCACUAUUGUGUUAUCAACUAUUUACACAAUGGGAUGGAUAGGAAUGGGGUUCUCCCUCGAUGGAAUGAUGAUCAAUUCUAGCUGUAUGGUUGGAUGGGUGACUCCAGCAGGUCAUGGAAAAAUCAAACAGUAUUAUGUUGAGGGAUUCACUCCCUCAAAAAUCAUACCAGAUAAAGGGGAGCUGCCAUUGACAAGUGUUCCACCCAUUAUCUAUAUUCAAGGGGCCACAGUUUACUUGGCCUUCCAGUUGAAGUAUCCAACUCCUCUCAAAACUCAACCAAUCUUACUAGCUUUCUCCACCAAAUCUCCUCAGCACCACCAUCUCACUGUUCAUGAGGACAAAACAACCAUACGAUUCGACUUCUCUUCAGGUCUGGUCAUCUCUGACUCUCCAAAUAUCAUGUAUAUCUUGACGUAACUGGUAAAGUUGUUGCCAUGUGACCAGGAGGUCAUGGGUUCGAGCCGUGGAAACAGCCCCUUGCAGAAAUGCAGGGUAAGACUGCGUACAGUACAAUAGACCUUUGUGGUCCGGCCCUUCUCCGUAGAACUUAGUGCACCAGACUGCCUUUUUUCUAAAAUAAUUAACAAGAGUAUCAAAAUUGACACAAAUACAUCAAAUGUGCACUAAAGCAAUGGCCUUCGCAAUUAGCAAUUCUCAGUGUGUCUCCACGUCUUCUAUAAAGCUUGUGCUUAGAUGUUAGACUUAAUUAGUUGAGAUGAUUUUCUCUUUCUCCUUAGGUACUUCAUUUGCUGCCACUGAUACACCUACUAACUACAUGAGCUCAAAGAAGACCCAUGCUGCAACCUCAUAUUCCAGGACAUCAAGGCAUAGGCAUUCUUAUUCUUGUGCUCAGUAUUCUUCAGGUUUGUCCCUAAUCUCAUUCAGCAAAAAUGAUAUUCAUAACCUGAUUGACCAUAUGCUAAAACCUAUGAUUUAGCUGCUGGAACACUAAACAUGGAGAACAGAAUACAGAAGUUCAGAUUGACAAACAUCCUCAUUCUAUUGAAUGGUUGCUUUUCUUAAAAAGAAAAAACAAAUUGUGUCAUGUCUAUGUUAUGUCCCAUAUUUUAGGAUCAUAGAAGACUCACUUUAUUUUACAUUCACAUGCAGGUUUUGGCAUUCUUUGUAAGACCAGAUAAAGACAGCAAGUAUCGCAAGUACUGGAAUUUGUAUCACGGUUGGGUGGGCAGGAUUGCUCUCUUCUUUGGAGCUGUGAACAUAGUAUUGGGGAUGCAUUAUGCAGGCGCAGAGCAAGGAUGGAAAAUAGGCUAUGGAUUUGUUCUCGGUUCAACAAUGUUGGCAUGCAUCAUCUUGGAAACAUUGUUAAGGCUAAACAAGUUGGAUGAACCAACUCUUCCUUCAAACUACCCUAUGAAUUCAAUCUAGCAUAAAUCUAAAAAAAUAUAAUUGUUAUAGGUAGACUGGGUGAACAAGUAGAACUCCCCCCACCCCCACCCAACAAACAUUAAGUUCAUUCAACAUUAGGAGUGCUCUUCACAAAAGUUGUACAGAAUUCCAUCCCAAAUAUGCUUUUGUGGAUGAGAUUGGAUUCUGCAGGCUCAGCACAUCUAAGGGCCAAAGCCUCCUUGAAACAAACUCAACACUUUUGCUAGUGCUCUUAAAAAUUUCUCCUCUGAAGGACGACCUGAACUUUCCCUUCUUUAUUUCACAUUCUUUAGUGCUUUUGAAGGGAUUACAUGUAUUGACAACUUUUAUCUAGCAAACAUUUGUUUGUGGAGAUCAAUAGUAUAGUAUCGUGACAUUGAAUCAGUAAGUAUCUCACCCUUUUGCUCAUCAGAGCUGUUAUUAGACACCUAAUAUUCUUACAAUGAAUGCUAGUACAUGAUUACUUUGAUAACAGCCAGCCAGCCCUAUAGGAGGAAUGAAGAGAUUCUACUAAUACUGUAAGUAGAUAAAUGUGCCUCUGCAAGCUUCCUUUCUACACCAUCCAAAUGGAAUCCAAAAAUCUCAGAAUUCAUUUCAAAUCAUGUUAGAUUUGAACUUAGAGCAAAAUGUAUUGCGUACAACUUCCAGUCCUAGAUCAGAUCCAGAUAUACUUUGUUGGAGCAGUCGAAAAUUUUGGUAUCAUAUACAAGUCAGUGAAACCAAUAAUCACUAGCAACUGAGAAAAUGACGAGGAGAAGAACUUUAUAUUGCACUAUGCUCUAAAAAGACACAAAAAUGUUCUAACCAAACUGUGAAUGAAGCUUAACCAAAAAAAGACAACUCCUUCGCGUCAAAAAGUAUAUUGAGAAGUAAACCUGCAAAUCAACAAAAAACAUGUAUAAGCGGAAACCAUACAUUGUUGCUUCAUGGAGUAAAAUU